UCUUUUCAGUUUGUGUUCUAUCGAAUGGUACUGCAUACCUUGCUAGAAACUUUUCAUUUCUAAAUUUAUGUACUAAUUAAUGUUUACAUCAAAUACUAAUCGAAAAUUCCCUAUUCUUUCUUUUGAACUUUGUGCAGACAACGAUCAGAUUAUCGCAUUUUACGCUGACUUUCUUUUCAACAUCAGAGUUACCGUGCAAUUCUGUUCUAAGAUAUAUCCAGUAUAUGAGACUUACUUGCACGAUGGUUUUAGUACAUCAUAAAUGUUAGAAUCCUUAACACAAAAGCAAGCAUCAAUUUGUACACAAUCUACAAUUCCCAUUCACGAAUGUUGCAUAGGUAAUUUAUUUUCCUCAUGAAUUCAGGAAUGUUGUAUAUAUACUUUUUAUUCCAGGAAUGUUGCAUAGUUAUUUUCUAGAAUCGAUUCCUUGUUCCACACCACUCUUAAUUUUAUGUCUAAGACUGCAUGAUUCAUUCUUCCAGUCUUUCUAUCAAUUUCUCUUCUUUCUUUAUGUCUAACCAUGUUAGUGGAGAUGAAGCUAUGAUGUGAACAUGGAGGCCAAUCAGAUGGUUGUGGUGGCAGAUCACAAGGGCGACGAGUUCAUCAGCCUUGAGGCCCCUUGAGGAGGAGUGUCAUAAAAUCUGGAGGAGCUUGACGAGAAACAAGGUGAGCAAUGACCCUCUUGCCCUUUCGGAAUUUCUUAGACUUUCCUGAAAAAUGCAAAAUUUUGAUCUGAUAUUUGUUUCAUGUACCAUACAAAGGUAAGGGCAAUCAGACACAUAGGGCCUGGACAAAUUAGCUUAUCAUAGAGGCACAACCCAAUCACAGGUAGCUCACUACUUGCAUUAUUGUGUAAAUAAUUUGUAAUAACGAGAAAAAAUUGAAUACUGCUAUGUUGCCACUGUAGUUUUACCUUAUGGAAUAAAAAAUUCCACCAUUGUUAGAAAACAAAAGUAGAAGAUCCGAACCUUCUAUUUGGUAAAGACUAUUUUAACGCUGAGAUAUAACAUGUUUUCACCAAGGAGGGCAGUUCAAGCAAUGCAAAGCCAUGGCCUCCAACGAGAUGAUUACACGUGUACCACAUAUCCUGUUGAGACAAGGUCUGUCACUCCUCUUCCAUGGCGCCAAGCGCUGGGUUGUGGACCUACCACAAGCUAGCCUCCUCCCUCGAGUACCAUAACCAACGACAAGCGGCGGAGAAGAACAUGGGCGUGCCACCAGGGAUAGGUAAUGGCGGCAGCGGUGGGGAGAAGGCGUUCAUCGAGGCUAGCGGCUGGAAGGCAGGGGACUUGGCAGUCCGGUCGCCAGUAGUGGGGAGGCAAGGAAAGGAUUCUUCACCAAAGGGAAAUGGAGGGAGAUAGAAAGAAGGAAGGUCGAGAGUGGGGAGGCAUGCAAGAGGCACUAAGAGGGUGGCCGUGUCCCAGUUUGGGUGUGAGUUUCUUUUAUUUCCAGUUUGGGUGUGAGUUUCUUUUAUUUUUUCGCAGUGUCAUGACUCAUGGAAAGUUUCAAGUUAAUUAAGGCUUAAAAAGAAAGUUUGAUUAUGCGUA